rnacentral:miRNA from 1 species
GACAUCUGAAGAAGUACAUUUA